rnacentral:rRNA from 1 species
AGCACGUUAUGGUGGGCGACUCUAAGGAGACUGCCGGUGGACAAACCGGAGGAAGGUGGGGAGUGACGUCAAGUCAUCAUGGCCCUUACGGCCUGGGCUACACACGUGCUACAAUGGUCGGUACAAAGGGUUGCCAAGCCGCGAGGUGGAGCUAAUCCCAUAAAACCGAUCGUAGUCCGGAUCGCAGUCUGCAACUCGACUGCGUGAAGUCGGAAUCGCUAGUAAUCGUGAAUCAGAAUGUCACGGUGAAUACGUUCCCGGGCCUU